AGGGGCUGCCUGGACAAGGCUGCGUGAGGUAGACCAUGCGGGCACACUCCUUCUCGAGCCGAAGCUCGCUCGCGCUGCGUGCGCGUGAGGAGCGGCGGUCUUGCUGUGAAGGCACAGAGAGUCUCCACGGUGCGGGAUCGGUUGCCCGUUCAGAGUUGUUAAAAAGAAAAAUGUAGCCACACUGCAUUCAUUACUCACCCCACCCCACCCCCCGCUCCCGGGUUCUGGUUGUGGCCCGCGGGGAGGGACGUGGGGGUGCACUCGUUCUCGGGGGCACGUAGCCAAAGCUGCGUUUCGGCCCCGAGGCCGGGGUGCUGGAACGGCUGUGAUCUGCGGGCCUGCGAAUUCCUCGGGCGUAAGAUAAGGAGCAGCAAGAGCCGGCUGAACUGAAGUCAGCGGACUAUAAAUACGACUCGCAAUCCACCUUUGGCUCAGCCGAGUGACCUCGCAUACCCUCCGGAGUCCCAUUCCCUCCUUUUAGAAAAUGCAAAUAGCUGUCACUACCUCUUUUCUUCCUUUUCCUUUAAUUCUCUCAUUCUUCGUGCAAAAUGCCGUUAGAAGUAUUCAGUGACCUGUUUAUGAAGAAAGAAAAGAUAACCCCUUUAAACCAGAUAAAUACGUAACUUCUUCGAACUCUUGGGCUGUCUCGGUUUUGAGUCAAUUGCAGCAGUCUCACUGUAAUGAAGUGGUAGAGAUCAAACCUAAGGCCUUUUAUGUAUCUAUAUCACUCACUGGACAACAUUCCCUGCAAAACCACUCCCAACUUAAAGAGGCUCAAGGAAGACCGUCGGGAUGGCUCACGGGUAAAGUAUUUGUCAUCAAGUCUG
rnacentral:lncRNA from 1 species